AGAGUUUGAUCCUGGCUCAGGAUGAACGCUGGCGGCGCGCCUAAUACCGCAUGUGGCCAGUUCCUCGCAUGGGGGACUGUCUAAAGGGUCUGAGUAACAUCGGACUCGCUCUGAGAUGGGCUUGCGGCCUAUCAGCUAGUUGGUGGGGUAACGGCCUACCAAGGCGGUGACGGGUAGCUGGUCUGAGAGGAUGGUCAGCCGGAUUGGGACUGAGAUACGGCCCAGACUCCUACGGGGGGCAGCAAUUAGGAAUCUUGCGCAAUGGGGGCAACCCUGACGCAACGACGCCGCGUGAAGGAUGACGGUCUUCGGAUCGUAAACUUCUUUUGUCGGGGAAGAACAGGGCUUCGGCCCUCUGACGGUACCCGACGAAUAAGCCCCGGCUAACUACGUGCCAGCAGCCGCGGUAAUACGUAGGGGGCGAGCGUUGUCCGAAGUUACUGGGCGUAAAGCGCGCGUAGGCGGUCUGUUAAGUCUGGUGUGAAAGGUUCAGGGCUCAACCCGAAGAGUGCACUGGAGACUGGCAGACUUGAGUUGGGGAGAGGAGAGUGGAAUUCCUGGUGUAGCGGUGAAAUGCGUAGAUAUCAGGAGGAACACCGAUGGCGAAGGCAGCUCUCUGGCCCCAAACUGACGCUGAGGUGCGAAAGCGUGGGGAGCGAACGGGAUUAGAUACCCCGGUAGUCCACGCCGUAAACGAUGAGUGCUAGGUGUCAGGGGUAUCGACCCCCCUGGUGCCGCAGCUAACGCAUUAAGCACUCCGCCUGGGGAGUACGGCCGCAAGGUUGAAACUCAAAGGAAUUGACGG
rnacentral:rRNA from 1 species